GAAAGUAAUAAAGAGCGUAUGGGGGAUGCCUAGGCUCUUGGAGGCGAAGAAGGACGUGGUAAGCUGCGAAAAGUCGCGGGGAUUUGCAAACGAGAAUUGAUCCGCGAAUAUCCGAAUGGGACAACCCGGCAGGCAGAAGGCCUGUCACCCAGCAAUGGGGGCUAACCCUCUGAACUGAAACAUCUAAGUAGGAGGAGGAGAAGAAAGAAACAUCGAUUUCCAAAGUAGCGGCGAGCGAAAUGGAAGGAGCCCAAACCGGUAUUGUUACGGCAAUGCCGGGGUUAUAGGACUGCGAGAUUCGAAGGACAAAGAACUGGAAAGAUUUGGAAAAGUCGACCAUAGAGAGUGAAAGUCUCGUACAGGUAAUUGAGUUCAAAGAUAGCAGUAUCCUGAGUAUGGCGGGACACGAGGAAUCCAGUCAGAAUUCGCCGGGACCACCCGGUAAGGCUAAAUACUCCCAAGAGACCGAUAGUGAACCAGUACUGUGAAGGAAAGGUGAAAAGAACCCCGAAUAGGGGAGUGAAAAAGAACCUGAAACCAUACGCUUACAACCUGUCGGAGCGGCUUCGUGCCGUGACGGCGUGCCUAUUGAAUAAUGAGCCUACGAGUUACUAAUCACUGGCGAGGUUAAGUGCUAGGAAGCACGGAGCCGAAGCGAAAGCGAGUCUGAACAGGGCGUUUAGUCAGUGGUUGUAGACGCGAAACCUUGCGAUCUACCCUUGAGCAGGAUGAAGGUUGGGUAAAGCCAACUGGAGGUCCGAACGAAUAAGCGUUGAAAAGCUUCUCGAUGACUUGAGGGUAGGAGUGAAAGGCCAAUCAAGCUGGGAAAUAGCUCGUACUCCCCGAAAUGCCUUUAGGGGCAGCGUUGUAAUAAAGAGUCUACUGGAGGUAGAGCUACUGAUUGGAUGCGGGGGCUUCACCGCCUACCAAAUCCCGACAAACUCCGAAUGCCAGUAGUAUGAUUUACAGCAGUGAGCCACCGGGUGCUAAUGUCCGGUGACAAAAGAGGAACAACUCAGACCAGCAACUAAGGUCCCCAAGCGUAUGCUAAGUUGAACUAACGAUGUUUUGUUGCAUAGACAGCUAGGAUGUUAGCUUGGAAGCAGCUAUUCAUUCAAAGAGUGCGUAACAGCUCACUAGUCGAGCGACAAAGCGUGGAUAAUAAACGGGCAUCAAGCAUACCACCGAAGUUCUGGGCGCGAAAGCGCGGUAGGGGAGCAUUCCAUUCAGCGUUGAAGCAGCGUCGUGAGAUGUUGUGGAGCGUAUGGAAAAGCAAAUGUAGGCAUGAGUAACGAUAAUGCGGGAGAGUAACCCGCACACCGCAAGACCAAGGUUUCCUGAUCAACGCUAAUCGGAUCAGGGUUAGUCGGGUCCUAAGGGUAAGCCGAACGGCGAUCUCGAUGGAUAAUCGGUUAAUAUUCCGAUACUGACAUAUACCUCGAUGGAGAGACGAAAUCGCGUAAGUACCGCCUCCUGACGGAAUAGGAGGUUAAAGGGCGUAUGUAUAGGGGCAGAUUAAGAGUCAGUCCUUGCUGAAACCCGACAGUACAGAGAGCCUACGGGCAAUUUGAUAGUGUACCCAAGCAUGUUUCCGAGAAAAUCUUCUAAGUUAUAGUAUAUGUCACCCGUACCGUAAACCGACACAGGUGGUCGAGGAGAGUAUCCUAAGGUGCUCGAGUGAAUCACGGUUAAGGAACUAGGCAAAUUAACCCCGUAACUUCGGGAAAAGGGGUCCCUACGCGAGUAGGGCGCAGCGAAGAGGUCCAGGCGACUGUUUAUCAAAAACACAGGGCUCUGCAAAUUCGAAAGAAGAAGUAUAGGGCCUGACACCUGCCCGGUGCUGGAAGGUUAAGAGGGGAUGUCAUCGCAAGAGAAGCAUUGAAUCGAAGCCCCAGUAAACGGCGGCCGUAACUAUAACGGUCCUAAGGUAGCGAAAUUCCUUGUCGGGUAAGUUCCGACCUGCACGAAUGGUGUAACGAUCUGGACACUGUCUCAACCGUGAG
rnacentral:rRNA from 1 species